GACGUAGGGCGCGAGCGUUGUCCGGAUUUAUUGGGCGUAAAGAGCUCGUAGGCGGCUUGUUGCGUCAGCUGUGAAAACCCGCAGCUCAACUGUGGGCUUGCAGCCGAUACGGGCAGGCUAGAGUUCGGUAGGGGAGACUGGAAAUUCCUGGUGUAGCGGUGAAAUGCGCAGAUAUCAGGAGGAACACCGGUGGCGAAGGCGGGUCUCUGGGCCGAUGACUGACGCUGAGGAGCGAAAGCGUGGGGAGCGAACAGG
rnacentral:rRNA from 1 species